GCAGUCGCCACGGUAAUACGGAGGAUCCAAGCGUUAUCCGGAAUCAUUGGGUUUAAAGGGUCCGUAGGCGGUCUUGUAAGUCAGUGGUGAAAGCCCAUCGCUCAACGGUGGAACGGCCAUUGAUACUGCAGGACUUGAAUUAUUGGGAAGUAACUAGAAUAUGUAGUGUAGCGGUGAAAUGCUUAGAGAUUACAUGGAAUACCAAUUGCGAAGGCAGGUUACUACCAAUUGAUUGACGCUGAUGGACGAAAGCGUGGGUAGCGAACAGGAUUAGAUACCCGUGUAGUCCCUGUCUCUUAUU
rnacentral:rRNA from 1 species